AGUGGGGUAGAGGAAUUGGUCAACUCAUCAGGCUCAUGACCUGAAGACUGCAGGUUCGAAUCCUGUCCCCGUCU
rnacentral:tRNA from 1 species